GCUACAGUGCUACUGGCCCAUAAUCAGGCAACUGCAGAGUCUUAGGGGGUUAUCUAAUGUAGUCUUGGGGUGGCUGGAUAGACUUCCCAAAGAAGGUGAUGCCGAAGCUGAGGUCGGAAAUUACGAAGAUCAGCUAUCAAACUUGGAAAUCAUGUCUUAGAGAUCAAGGAGCCAAGAGAUGAGACAAGCCUGGGUUCCUAGGUGAUAGGGUGUGGCUGUGUCCCCACCCAAAUCUCGUCUUGAAUUGUAGCUCCCAUAAUCCCCACAUGUUGUGGAGGGACCCUGUGGAAGGAAGGCCUGAGGAGAGAAGACACAUAGUCAUGCUGACUAAACCAGAUCACCUAGAAUUACCAAAUGGAAAGAUUGUGCCUGCAGCCUGGCCUGUUGCCCACAGCGGUCUACCUGCCACACUGGGAAAGAUCGAGCAGAGACAGAGAAGAAAAGGAGGCUCCAUUUUUCAGGCUGCUCUCCCGCAGGCUCAUGUUUUGUGUUCAUGCCAGGCAGAGAACACAAAAUGUUCCAAUAAAUAAGUAUCAAAGGUUAGUGGUGAAAAUGAAGGAGGAGGAGGCAUUGCGUGAAAAACUAAACAUGCAAAAUAUUACACACAAAGAGAACCAAAAUGCAGGUUCACUGGAAAUGAUAGACAAUAUGUUAAAACAAGAGGAGAGAAGAGAGCUGAAAUAAUCAAAUGGAAACACACAAUUUAGGGCUAAGAUCUUGUUGUGUUCAGCCACAAAUGAUGGCCAGCAGUGAGGAAUCUGUGUGUUCUCCACACUCUUCGCUCCUGGGAAGUCAACUCACAUGGACCAUGAUAUCAAUAUCUGCUCCUUCCCCUAAUAUCUGUUUGACCUUGGGUCAGUUACUUAAACUUCCUAAGCCUUAGUUUCUUUGUCUGGAAAAUAGGGAUAGUUAUACCUACCACACAACCACUUUGUAAUGAAUAUGUUGGAAAUUAUAUGCAAAUUGGCUUCCGUUGGUGUUUGGAACAUAGUAGGUUUUUAACUGGAAUAUAAUAGCUACCAUUAUCAGUAUCAUCAUAUUAAUUUAUAUUUCCAUCUUCAGCCCUUAACCCAGGAUCUUCAGUAAAUGUUGAAUUCUCAAAUUUGUUAAAUUCACUUGUCUAUACUAAUAUUUUACUCUAGGUUUCUUAGAAUAUUCUAGAUAAUAUUAUUAUGUAGAAUAUGUUAUGUAAGCUUCAUCUUAUCUGUAAAUAUAGUUUUACUUUUUCCUUUCUAAUUUUUAUGUCGAUUACUUCUUUUUCUUGGCUUAUUGAAUUGGCUAGGAUUCCCGUACAGUGUUGAAUACGUGCAGCAAGACUGCACAUCUUGCCUUGUUCCUGGUCCCACAGAGAGAAUAUCCAGUACUUCACAAUAAGUAUGUGUUAAUUGUAGAUUUUAUUAGAUUGAGGAAGUUCCCUUUCCUUUCAAGUCAGUCUUUUUAUUUUAAACAUGUAUUGAAGUUUUGUCAAAUGUCUUCAUCUAUUGGAAUAAUUAUACAUAUCUCUUUUUUAUUCUGUUAAUAUUACAUUUCAAUCUUCUGUCUACCUAAAAUCCCUAGAAUAAUCUCCAUUUGGCUAUGAUGUGUUGUGCUUUUAUAUAUUACUGAAUUCUAUAUGCCAAUAUUAUUAAAAUUUUCUGUCUUUAUGAGAA
rnacentral:lncRNA from 1 species